UGCUUCUGUCCUCCAGAGGCCCCCAACAGCAUUCUGCAGGUGAACACCGGCUCAUUUGAAGCUUUGACUUUCAAGAUUUCAAAGGAAGGAGCUGAGAUGUGUGUAAGCAGAAGCAGGUUUGAUAGGCAGAUUCCAAGAUGGCCCCCAGCGAUCCUUACCCCCUGCUGUUCGCGUCCUUCGACGACUCCGGUGAAUAGGGCUGACCUGUGUGACUAACAGGAUAUUGCAGAAGUGAUGGUAGAUGACUUCUGAAGCUAGCCAUACAGGGUGCCACAGCUUCUGCCCUGUUCUCCUGGAUCA
rnacentral:lncRNA from 1 species